UAAGGAAUAUUGCUCAAUGGGAGAAAUCCUGAAGCAGCAACGCCGCGUGGAGGAUGAAGGGUCUAUGACUUGUAAACUCCUGUAAAGAAGGAAAAAAUUCCCAUUUGAUGGGAGAUGGUGGUACUUCUGGAGUAAGCCCCGGCUAACUACGUGCCAGCAGCCGCGGUAAUACGUAGGGGGCAAGCGUUGUCCGGAUUUACUGGGUGUAAAGGGUGCUCAGGCGGAUUUGUAAGUCAGAGGUGAAAUCUUACAGCUUAACUGUGAAACUGCCUUUGAUACUGCAAGCCUAGAGUAUGGAAGAGAGUGAUGGAAUAUCUGGUGUAGCAGUGAAAUGCGUAGAUAUCAGAUAGAACACCAAUGGCGAAGGCAGUCACUUGGUCCAUUACUGACGCUAAAGCACGAAAGCGUGGGUAGCAAACA
rnacentral:rRNA from 1 species